rnacentral:rRNA from 1 species
CCUACGGGUGGCAGCAGUGAGGAAUAUUGGUCAAUGGGCGCGAGCCUGAACCAGCCAAGUAGCGUGAAGGAUGACUGCCCUACGGGUUGUACACUUCUUUUAUCAAGGAAUAAUGUGAGGCACGUGUGCCUUUUUGUAUGUACUUUAUGAAUAAGGAUCGGCUAACUCCGUGCCAGCAGCCGCGGUAAUACGGAGGAUCCGUGCGUUGUCCGGAGUUAUUUGGUUUAAAGGGUGCGUAGGCGGGGAGGUAAGUCAGCGGUGAAAUGCCCCCGCGCAACGGGGUGAAGUGCCAUUGAUACUGCCUUGCUGGAAUGCGCAUGCAGUAGGAGGAAUGUGUGGUGUAGCGGUGAAAUGCAUAGAUAUCACACAGAACACCGAUUGCGAAGGCAUCUCACGAAUCCGCGAUUGACGCUGAUGCACGAAAGCGUGGGUAUCAAACAGGAUUAGAUACCCUGGUAGUC